CAGCUUUUAUAACUGUAAAUUUGCUGUCCCCUCAAAAUAACACAAUACAGCCAUUAAUGUCUAAACCGCUGGCAACAAAAGUGAGCAGCCCCUCCAAAUUGGGCCAAAAGUGUCAAUAUUUUCCAGCACUGCCUUAACCCUCUUGGGCAUGGAGUUCACCAGAGCUUCACAGUUUGUCACUAGAGUCCUCUUCUACUCCUCCAUGACAUCACAGCAGCUGGUGGAUGUUAGAGACCUUGCACUCCUCCACCUUCUGUUUGAAGAUGCCCCACAGAUGCUCAAUGCUCAGUUUCAGGGUUUGAGGAUUGCCCCACAGAUGCUCAGUUUCAGGGUUUGAGGAUUGCCCCACAGAUGCUCAGUUUCAGGGUUUGAGGAUUGCCCCACAGAUGCUCAGUUUCAGGGUGUUGGCAAUCUUCUUAUGGCCAUAGGCCAUCUUUAGAACAACAAUUCUUUUUUUCAGAUCCUCAGAGAGUUCUUUGCCACGAGGUGCCAUGUUGAACUUCCAUUGACCAGUAUGAGGUAGUGUGAGAGUGAUGACACCAAAUUUCACACAUACCGUCUCCCUAUUCACACAUUGUAACAACCUUGAGACCUUGUAACAAUGAGUCACAUGACAUCGGGGAGGGAAAAUGGCAAAUUGGGCCCAAUUUGGAAAUGUUCGCUUAGGGUUGUAUUCACUCACUUGUUGCCAGCGGUUUAGAUAUUGUGUGUUGAGUUAUUUUGAGGGGACAGCAAAUUUACACUGUUAUACAAGCUGUACACUCAUUACUUUACAUUGUAGCAGUGUCAUUUCUUUCGUGUUGUCACAUGAAAAGAUAUACUCAAAUAUUUACAAAGAUGUGAGGAGUGUACUCACUUUUGUGAGAUACUGUUCCUUGCUUAAGAACUUCACAUGCAUGACGCAAUUUGUAGAGUGCAGAGUGCUUGGACAAAAUUAGAGCAGUAAAAGCUGAUGUAAUAUCAUACUUGUAGUAUACGGUCUUGUAUACCAUGGCUAUCAGCAUUCAGGAUUUGAACUCAAACACUGUCUUUGUUUUAAAACACUUAACUGUAAGUUGCUCUGGAGAAGAGUGGGUGCUAAAUGACAAUGGAAAUGUGACUUAAAUCAUGAAUGUUAUAAUACAGGAUAAGCAUGCUCCCAAAGUGCUUCUGUUCCUGUGCCCCAGUGUUGAGGAGGCAUCUUUUCUUUGUCUUGCGAAGAGAACUCAAUGAAAAUUCUCUAUGGAGUGUCCUCCCUCAAUAUGUUGUUGGCAUUCCCACUAACUCCUGCCUUGACAGAAACUAGUGUCCCUGGGGCCAAAAAUCUAAACAUUUAAAAUAACAAUAUAAAAAGGUAAUUACAUUUUGCAGACACUCUUGUCCUGUUUGCACUCUGGGAGGAGGUCACUGUGCAGUUGUAAACCAUGAUGGACAUGUUGUGGAGCGGACUGGCCAUUCUGCAAAAGAAGAGCAGCUCAGUCUUGUUAAGGUUAAGCUUGAAGUGGUUGACUGACAUCCAAGAGAUUGUGGAUCGGGCAGAAGAUAUGUGACAACAAUGUUAAGCUCAAAUCGAAAGCACACAAUGACAGCAUGGAAUUCAAAAGAGGGUGAGGGACAUAUAAUCUCCAAUUUGAAGUAACAAGUAGCCCUACGAUGCCACUGAGGCAAUCCAGAUGCUCUUGGACUAUGGGGAAUCAUUCAGAUGAAGAGAUAGCAGCCACAGUAAGCAGUAUUCUCUUGGGAAAUCCAUGCCUUUUUGACAGCAGAUCGACAGGCCCAAACACUACUAGAUAGCAGGGCUGGGAACAAAAUAUUAGAAAGAUUGCAGCCAUGGGCUUGGGGGUGACUGUAGAAAUGACUAGGAGAUUCGGCGGGCAGGGAUAGGAAAGAGACACAGCACAAAACGGACAGCAUUCCUUUUUUAUAUCCUGGGAAAACAGGUAGGUUGUAGACCUAUUUGUCUGAGUAGUUAAAUACUAAAUCGGCCUGUAUGUAUUUCAGCAGUUAGUUUUAGCAGUUUUUUUUUCUACUAGCCAGUGGAGCGCAUAACAGGAUGUGGUCCAAAACUGAAAGCGUAUGAACUCUGUGCUUCUGUUUUAAACCUGCCCAUGUUCCAUCACUCGCAUCCUGUCUCAGGCUCUGCACUUCAUAUAUGUUGAAUGGUUCAGCACGGGUUCAUCUCUCAGCAUACAGUGUUUGGACACCCAUUUAUGGGUGAAUUUGUCCAAACAUUUGACUGGUUUUGUACAUUUCACUGUAAAUGGAGGGAAUCUGCUGCAUUCACUUCAAACUGCUGUUUUUCAGAGCAGGGGAUUAUUUACAGAAUCACCAGUUCGGCAGGUUACUCUGCUCUGAUUAAUUGGCUCUCCAUCUGUGGACCUUAAACUUUUUGUCUGUUCAUUAGUGGGUUUCUUCACCGAUGUUAACCUGCCAUGGUAGAACAAAUCAUUUCUGAACAUGUCUGAAGCUUAACCACACUCAUCUACACUGUACACCAGCUGUACCCCAGCUUCACCCCAGCUUCCUCUUUCUAUUUGUGUUCAAAACUUCCCUUGCAACAUUUUAAACAUCAUGCGUGAGGUAGUGAUUUGAUGUUUCUAUAAUCAAGUAACAUCUUCUCAGUUCUCUCCACCCACAGUAUAUCCCUCUAACGUUAUAGGUUUUGCACGCCCAUCUGUCAAGUUUCUGCAUCCACAUUCUUGUUUAAAAAAAGUGCCACUGCUCACACACGCCUAUCACCUCUUCCUGCCUGGUCGGGUUUUCUCUGCCUUUUGAAACCAUCAUUUAGGCUAUUCUGUAGCAAGGCUUUGGUGAGUGUUCAUUUACAACUUUUACCCAACCCUUCAUAGUUCAUCAAAUCCUUUUUGGUUUUAGCAUUUUAAGCCGUGGUUCUGUUUUAAAUGUGCUCUUCCAUCUUUACGAUAUUUUACGCUGCUUGUCACAGCUCUACACACCACUUGUCUGUCCUUCAUCUUCACCCUUCCCUCAGUCAUUCUCUCAGCGUUGCUUACCUCCCACCACUGUUUCUGUCUUUCCAUUGUGUGUUUUAUUGUUUCUUAUAUGACAGCUCAGGUUUUUGUCUCCCCUGUUUAUUUCCUUUCAGAACUCUGGUAGCAAGCCACUAAAUGGAAGAAUUGCAUUUUGGGAGUUAAGGGUGCGGUUCAUGGUUCUAUGUAAUGUGGGCCUUUUAUUUAAACAUAUACAUUAUAUUUGCUUAGCCUGUGUCUGUAAUACACAUAGUGGUAUUGAGAGAUUAUGUAGACAGCACCCCCCCCCCCAGUGAGAGGCUGAUUAAGCACUGCUCCAUGCCAAUACAUACCCUGCCUGCACAACAUGGGAACAUCAGGGGACAUAAAAAUCCACAUAGGCUUAGUUUUGUGAUGUGCAUCAAUGUAAAGGCAUUGUAGGAUGGGAGAAGAGAACUGACUUCAACAUGCAAAAUGUUUCGGCGGUCAGGUAAAAUUCCGUCACAAAAUACAGCGUAACCACACACUGGAAACCUGUUGCAUAGCCUCUUUAUUAUACUAGUGAAACUUUUCUUUGUGACCGUUAACUGCACGAAUCUGGAGGUUAAAAUACGCUCAGCGAUUAAUGUGCAUUUUAAAAUCUAUUGUGGUGGCUGGCUUGCAUUUGCAUUUGACAUGAAUAUUCAAUACGAAGAGAGCAGGACCAAGAGAGAAUGUUGGUUUCCUGUUAGUCACAGAGUCAGAAUCAGGGUCUUACAGGCACUUCCUGUGUCUCUGUGGUUAUGCAGCUACGGUGACAGAACCAAUCAAUACAACAAAGGGACAACAACUACCAUGGCACAUCACCGGACAGAACCACACAGAACAUGUUACAACCAGUCAGUGUGAUACAAUAUUAUAACAUUGAUUGGCAGGGUUCAGUCUACACAAAAAACAACAGGCUUAUUUUAUCCUGUAAAAUGUUUUUGCUCAAAGUUUAACUUUAAUGCAUAUAUUUCUAGUUUGGGUGUAGUUAUCUAUAGGCCUACUGAUGUUAAUUGGCUGCAUGGAUAAAGAAAUUGAAAGAAGCUGCGUUGCUUGUAUGGAAGGAUAAUGUAUACAGCUCAACUACACUGAUCCCAUUUGUGGCGGUAAAAUGCUAACAUUAUCUUGUUUCUUAACAGAUCCAGUCAGUAAUAAAUCUAUGUAUGGAUCAAUUCAAAUUUAAAACAAAUAUAUUUGCCCACACUGGGAUGUGACCUGGAUCCCUACUACGCCAACUUCUGAUUGAGCAGAGAUUUCUUCAACAUUCUUUCUGAGAACUAAGAGUAGUCAUGUCAAAAGUCAUAGACGAGACAUCCAAUAGUGUCGUCUGGACCCUUGUCAUAAUCCUGGUGAUCCUCGUUGUCCUCCUGGUCUACCUGUACAAGCGACUGAACCGCCAGACUAAUGACCAAUACACCAUCCACAACCUGGUCUAUGGGGAAGGUGGCGCCAGGGACAGGUUGAGGAACUGGAUCCGAGUCCUGGAGGUUCGGUUCGGCCGACGACUCUGGCUUCUCAACGAGAGUGAGGGGGCUGCCGGAGAGGACGAGAAAGACGAAGAGGAGGAUGUGGAACGGGCGAGCGUGGGAGGGGACAGCCAGGGAGGUGAUCAGGAGGGCAGAGGGGAUGAUUCCUCGGAUGACUACUCUAGCUUGGAGGGCUGUGACCUUAGGGAGAGAGUGAAGCUCGCAGAGGGGAAGGAGGAGAGGGGAGGGAGUGUGGGGAGCAAGCCGGAGACGAGUCGAGACGGCGGAGAGUGUGAGGAGGGAGCAGUGGGAGGACAAGAAAGUGGACGAGGAGGUUUGCUGGUAGAUCUGCACCCAUUCUCUGGUAGCGCCAUCUGGUCGGGCGAUAAGGGCGUGGGAGAUGGAAACAUGGAGGAUGUGACUGCAUUGUGAGGGACUGAAAAAAGAGGGGGGGGGGUACAGGUAUUAGCCAGAAUAAAGGAAACACCAACAUUGUCUUAAUAUGUUGUUGGGCAGCUUCAGUGUGAAGGGUGUCUGGAACUGUUGGAGGGAUACAGCACAAUUUUUCCAUGAGAAAAUUUGGAAUAAUUGUUAUUUGGUGUUUUUGUUGCUAGCGGGGGGGGGGGGGGGCUCCAGUGUCUCUCAUACAAUUUAGGAUGUAGGAAUUAUUUUUGGUAUCCGCUCAUGUGUUCGAUCUGUUGAGUUCUGGUGAUGGAGCUGGCCAUGGCAAAUGCUUUACAUUCGAUUUCCUGCUCAUCAAGUCUAUCACCUCUCGUGACCUUUGAAUGUGAGCAGUGUAAUCUGGAAAAAAAACACUUCCAUAAAGAGGAUGGAAAUGCUUCGCCAUCAGCAUGUCACCAUGUGACCCUAAGCUUGAUAGGGUGUUAACUGCUUAAUUAAACUCAGAGAUCCAGUUGCGUUUGUAAGCCCCUGUGUUAGAUGUUUUGUUGCUCCAAAAAAGAAUGCAAAUGAGGGCGCGCCCUACUGUAACAAUGUUAGAUGAGAGUGUCUGCAAAAUUACUUCAAUGUGAAAAUGUGUCCUGUGUUUUGUCAAGAGUUACCUUGAUGCCGGCGGUUGCCCGCAGCUCCAUUGUAUGCACAGUGGCAGUGCAUGACAGAACAUGCACUUUUGGUCAUCAUGCCCUUUACAAUUUGUCAUACUAAAAGACAUUACAAUAAUUCUGACCUUGAUGUUGUUUAAAAUAAUUGUGAGCAAAACAUUUUAAAUGGCUUUGCACUGUGCAUUUCAGCUGUGCAUUUUAUCUGCUUACACUAAUAUACUCUACACCUGUGUAUGUGUAUAGAUUCCUUCACAGACAGUUAUAAAGAUUUAAGAUCUGAGCAUGAGUGAAAACGACUGUAAAAUUAUUCCUUAGUCUGCUUUAAAUAUGCUUAUGUCAGACUAAGUGAGAGGAACAUGGGAUUUCCAUGCAGUUAUGUUAAAGUUGAACAUAUUAAUUCAAAUUGCUUGAUUAUUAUACUAUUGUACAACAAUCAAUGAUGUAUCCCAGACCACUCUGUAUUGUCCAAUGACUACAUAAGUAAUAUGUUAAGGAAUCCUCAUAGAAACUCACACACAUUCCUAGAAUAUAUUAUACAACAUAAACAAAUCGAAGGCAAGUCAAUAAAACACAAACUCAACACAGUAGACAAACGCAGAGGUUAUAAAAAGGUUAUUCUGCUCUGUCUGUAAACUCAUAUAAGUAACAAAGGAAAUUAUUUUAUUAGAUUAUAAUACGUUAAAAUAAUAUAUUGAGCAGAGUUGUUUUGAAAUGAUUGUUUUUGCAAACAUGUUUGUGAUGAUUUAUGAACAGCUAUUCAGGUAAUGCUUUACUUUGUUCUAUAAUGUUUCACCGGUAAAUCACUGUCAGAUAACAGGCUAAAACGUUUUAUCGUCUCCCAUUGCUGUAUUCAUUUACACGAUAGACCUACUGUACUAUAGUACACUCAUACCUUUAAGAAACUGAAAGAUAAACGUAUUUGCA
ensembl:lncRNA